AUCAAUCAAUUUGUAUAUAUGAUACUUUUUCCUAUAUGAAAAACAUAGUGCUUCUGUCUAAAAAUAAGAAGUGAUUGAGCACCCAGUGGAGUCUAUAUAUGUAGGUUUGCCGUUUCACCUAUUCACUGUAGAAUGUUGAUACCUCUCCCAUUUUAAGUACUUAUAUUGCGUCAAAUUACAUAAAUGACUAACGACAUAGGUAUAAAACUACAUCUGCAGGCAAGGUGACAACACGAUUAGUUGCAGUCAGAAGGUAAGAGAGAUGGCAUAUCUGCCGAUUGAGCAACUCAGACAUGCACAAAGAUGGAUGAACACAACCUUUGAUCAGAUCACUCUUCUAUGGAAUGACUGCAGGAAAUUUAAC
rnacentral:lncRNA from 1 species